CCUACGGGAGGCAGCAGUGAGGAAUAUUGGUCAAUGGGCGCGAGCCUGAACCAGCCAAGUCGCGUGCAGGAAGACGGUCCUAUGGGUUGUAAACUGCUUUUGUCGGGGAGUAAAUGAAGCCACGUGUGGCGUUCUGAGAGUAUCGUACGAAUAAGGAUCGGCUAACUCCGUGCCAGCAGCCGCGGUAAUACGGAGGAUUCGAGCGUUAUCCGGAUUUAUUGGGUGUAAAGGGUGCGUAGGCGGACGGAUAAGUUAGGGGGGAAAUCUAGGGGGUUAACCCUGUAAUGGCCGUUGAUACUGGUUUGCUUGAGUGUAGGAGCGGUAGGCGGAAUGCAUGGUGUAGCGGUGAAAUGCUUAGAGAUCACGCAGAACACCGAUUGCGAAGGCAGCUUACC
rnacentral:rRNA from 1 species